rnacentral:rRNA from 1 species
AGUGAACGCUGGCGGUAGGCCUAACACAUGCAAGUCGAACGGCAGCACAGUAAGAGCUUGCUCUUACGGGUGGCGAGUGGCGGACGGGUGAGGAAUACAUCGGAAUCUACUUUUUCGUGGGGGAUAACGUAGGGAAACUUACGCUAAUACCGCAUACGACCUACGGGUGAAAGCAGGGGAUCUUCGGACCUUGCGCGAUUGAAUGAGCCGAUGUCGGAUUAGCUAGUUGGCGGGGUAAAGGCCCACCAAGGCGACGAUCCGUAGCUGGUCUGAGAGGAUGGUCAGCCACACUGGAAGUUGAACAGCGUCCAGACUCCUACGGGAGGCAGCAGUGGGGAAUAUUGGACAAUGGGCGCAAGCCUGAUCCAGCCAUACCGCGUGGGUGAAGAAGGCCUUCGGGUUGUAAAGCCCUUUUGUUGGGAAAGAAAAGCAGCAGGUUAAUACCCCGCUGUUCUGACGGUACCCAAAGAAUAAGCACCGGCUAACUUCGUG